CGUAGGGCUCUGGGGGAUAGUGGCGAACGGGUGAGUAACACGUGAGUAACCUGCCCUUGACUCUGGGAUAACCUCCGGAAACGGAAGCUAAUACCGGAUACGACGUACGGAGGCAUCUCCUGUACGUGGAAAGAACUUCGGUCAAGGAUGGACUCGCGGCCUAUCAGGUAGUUGGUGAGGUAACGGCUCACCAAGCCUACGACGGGUAGCCGGCCUGAGAGGGUGACCGGCCACACUGGGACUGAGACACGGCCCAGACUCCUACGGGAGGCAGCAGUGGGGAAUAUUGCACAAUGGGCGCAAGCCUGAUGCAGCAACGCCGCGUGAGGGAUGACGGCCUUCGGGUUGUAAACCUCUUUUAGUAGGGAAGAAGCGAAAGUGACGGUACCUGCAGAAAAAGCACCGGCUAACUACGUGCCAGCAGCCGCGGUAAUACGUAGGGUGCGAGCGUUGUCCGGAAUUAUUGGGCGUAAAGAGCUCGUAGGCGGUCUGUCGCGUCUGCUGUGAAAACCCGAGGCUCAACCUCGGGCCUGCAGUGGGUACGGGCAGACUAGAGUGCGGUAGGGGAGAAUGGAAUUCCUGGUGUAGCGGUGGAAUGCGCAGAUAUCAGGAGGAACACCGAUGGCGAAGGCAGUUCUCUGGGCCGC
rnacentral:rRNA from 1 species